GUCCACGCCCUAAACGAUGUCAACUAGUUGUUCGGUGAGGAGACUCAUUGAGUAACGCAGCUAACGCGUGAAGUUGACCGCCUGGGGAGUACGGCCGCAAGGUUAAAACUCAAAGGAAUUGACGGGGACCCCGCACAAGCGGUGGAUGAUGUGGAUUAAUUCGAUGCAACGCGAAAAACCUUACCUACCCUUGACAUGUCAGGAAUCCUUGAGAGAUUGAGGAGUGCCCGAAAGGGAGCCUGAACACAGGUGCUGCAUGGCUGUCGU
rnacentral:rRNA from 1 species